CCCACUGGAAAAUCGCCCCACACCUAAUCGCCCCACCUUUUCACAAACUCGCCCCACUUUCUAAAAAAACGCCCCACUCUUGUUUACCAACUCGCCCCACUUAUGAAAAGGGUAAACUCCCAUUGCAAAUAGUUAUGAUAACAUGCUCCCCUUAUGAAAAGGGUUAAAAUCCCGCUGAAAUACGGUCUGUCAACUGGCCCCACUCAUGACAAAUAGAUAAACCACUUAUAAAAAAGAUGCAAUCCCGUUGUAUAUCUUUGUCCCUGCCCACAUCAAUACCUUUGAACACCAAAGUGAAGUGCUAUAAAAUCAAAUUGCUGUUAAAAACUCUGUUUUUGCAAUAAAGUUAUAUAUAAAUGUUAAUC
rnacentral:lncRNA from 1 species